rnacentral:piRNA from 3 species
UACCACCCUUCACUAAGCACUUGAU